rnacentral:rRNA from 1 species
UACGUAGGUGGCGAGCGUUGUCCGGAUUUACUGGGCGUAAAGAGCGCGCAGGCGGUCGUCCAAGUCGCGUGUGAAAGCCCCCGGCUCAACUGGGGGAGGGUCACGCGAUACUGAUCGACUCGAAGGCAGGAGAGGGUAGUGGAAUUCCCGGUGUAGUGGUGAAAUGACGCAGAGUAUCAGGAAGAACACCCGUGGCGAAGGCGGUUCUCUGGGACGGUACUGACGCUGAGACGCGAAAGCGUGGGGAGCGAACAGG